rnacentral:lncRNA from 1 species
UUCGUUUUGGGUCACUUUCAGAGGACAAAUAAACUAAUUACCUGAGACCAAAUUAAAUGAAUUUCUAAAAGCUAAACGAUGCCAACAUCAUUUUAUUCAUAUAUUUGUGCCAAGGAGAGAUGUUUCCAAGAUUAUGAAAGUUCAGGACUUGGGUAACAGCUCUUGAGUCAGUACUUUUUCCCUGGUAGAAAUGGCUUUGGUUUGGAGGCGACGAUCAUAACUGGAGGUCAAACUCUGGGAAGGCUUGCAGCUGCAGAUGGGCCGCAUACUCUGUGGUUGCCCUGAUCCACUGGGAUGUGUGAUAUGUAACUGUUAUCUCAAACACUGUAUUCACUGAUGUAAUGUUCAUGUGAGGAGCAGUCCCGUCACUGGAACUCUGGAUUCUCCAGCCCAUUUCAACAUGCCAGCUGGAUUUUGCCUGCCAUUUUUCAUCAUCGUGAGAUACCACGAUAUUACUCAUGCCAACAUACUACAGAGGGUAUCCUAGGGCCUCGGCAAGAUCUUGUGCAAGUUUAAAUGAAGCCCUGAAGCUUGAAGUUUAUUAGCCGUAUGGGAAGAAUUGGAAAUCAGAGUGGAGUAUCGCUCAGUCUCCUUGGAAGCAGAAGUUCAAUUCCCAGGACCUAGCACUGAGUCAUCUAUUAGAACCUCAUACCCACUGUGAUGAUAUUAAGAGGUGAAGCCUCUGGAAAAUGAUCAAGUCACUGAGGAACUCUCAACCUUCUACAAAAAGCUCCAGAGAGCUCCCUGGCCUCCUUCUGCCGCAUGAAGAUGCUCGGAAGGUGCCAUCUCUGAUCCAGAAACUGGAUCUGCUGGCAUCUUGAUCUUGGACUUCUCAGCCUCCAGAAUUGUGGCACUGCCAAUAGGCUUGCAGCCUGGAUGGAAUGAAAAGGCAGAAGGAGGAAGUCCGCCGGUAUUUGAAAAGUUCCACUCUGCUCGAAUGAGUGCAUCUUUUGCUUCGACCAUCACCAGUGGACAUGAGAUUCCUGCUUCUUCAGGCUUUCAACUCAGACUCUCACCAGUGACUCUCCAGGGAACUUCCAGGCUUUUGGUCUUAGACUUGUGCUGGCUGCAUCAAUCCCUCUUGUUCUAUGGCUUCGUGCUUCUCACGUUGAGCAGCUCCUGGAUCCCCUGAUCUCCAGCAUGCAGACAGCCAUGGUGGGGUCUCCCACUUCUGAUCCUGUAAGCCUUCCUAAUAAAAGCCCUUGCCUGA